rnacentral:rRNA from 1 species
CGAGAAAGCCCGCAAGGGUGAGUACAGCGGCGCACGGGUGCGUAACACGUGAGUAAUCUGCCCUGGAGCCCGGAAUAACCUCCCGAAAGGGAAGCUAAUGCCGGAUGAGCCCACGGAGUCCUUGGACUCUGAGGGAAAAGGCGGCCUCUGUAUACAAGCUGUCACUUCAGGAUGAGCUCGCGGCCCAUCAGCUAGUUGGCGGGGUAAUGGCCCACCAAGGCAACGACGGGUAGCUGGUCUGAGAGGACGAUCAGCCACACUGGAACUGAGACACGGUCCAGACUCCUACGGGAGGCAGCAGUGGGGAAUCUUGCGCAAUGGGCGAAAGCCUGACGCAGCAACGCCGCGUGUGUGAUGAAGGUCUUCGGAUCGUAAAGCACUGUCGCGAGGGACG